GAUGGCGCUUGACGGACCAGAGCAGGUAUGGCGGGUGCAGUGGCGGCCCGGCAGGUUAUGGGGCUGGGUGCGGAGCGAGCGUGAUCUGAGUGGAGAGCGGGCCGGGGCAGGAGCGUCGGGUGGGUCGGAGGUGGCUGGACCAGUCCAGGCUGGACGCUGCCUGCGACCGGAUCUGCUGUGUCAGCGCCACCCUCGGUGAGUCAGGGCAAGGCUGGGAGAGGAAGACGCGGUAGAAGCGGAGUGAGUGAGGGGAGCGAUGGGCGCGGGAAUGGCCGGCCGACGGGUCGCAGGAGACGGGACGCCAGUCCUUUGGCUCCGUUCCGCUGGCUCCGUCGUCAGUACUGACACCUCGGGCUUGUAGAGCACUUCACGCAGUGCAAAGCGCCCCCGUGUAUAUCAUAUCGCCUCUCGGUCUUCCUAAAAGUCGUAUGAGAUGGAGCUGGAGGAGGGGAAGGCAGGCAGCGGACUCCGCCAAUAUUAUCUGUCCAAGAUUGAAGAACUCCAGCUGAUUGUGAAUGAUAAGAGCCAAAACCUCCGGAGGCUGCAGGCACAGAGGAAUGAACUAAAUGCUAAAGUUCGCCUACUACGGGAGGAGCUACAGCUGCUGCAGGAGCAGGGCUCCUAUGUGGGGGAAGUAGUCCGGGCCAUGGAUAAGAAGAAAGUGUUGGUCAAGGUACAUCCUGAAGGUAAAUUUGUUGUAGACGUGGACAAAAACAUUGACAUCAAUGAUGUGACACCCAAUUGCCGGGUGGCUCUAAGGAAUGACAGCUACACUCUGCACAAGAUCCUGCCCAACAAAGUAGACCCAUUAGUGUCACUGAUGAUGGUGGAGAAAGUACCAGAUUCAACUUACGAGAUGAUUGGUGGACUGGACAAACAGAUCAAGGAGAUCAAAGAAGUGAUCGAGCUGCCUGUUAAGCAUCCUGAGCUCUUCGAAGCACUGGGCAUUGCUCAGCCCAAGGGAGUGCUGCUGUAUGGACCUCCAGGCACUGGGAAGACACUGUUGGCCCGGGCUGUGGCUCAUCAUACGGACUGUACCUUUAUUCGUGUCUCUGGCUCUGAAUUGGUACAGAAAUUCAUAGGGGAAGGGGCAAGAAUGGUGAGGGAGCUGUUUGUCAUGGCACGGGAACAUGCUCCGUCUAUCAUCUUCAUGGACGAAAUCGACUCCAUCGGCUCCUCGCGGCUGGAGGGGGGUUCUGGAGGGGACAGUGAAGUGCAGCGCACGAUGCUGGAGUUGCUCAACCAGCUCGACGGCUUUGAGGCCACCAAGAACAUCAAGGUUAUCAUGGCUACUAAUAGGAUUGAUAUCCUGGACUCGGCACUGCUUCGCCCAGGGCGCAUUGACAGAAAAAUUGAAUUCCCACCCCCCAAUGAGGAGGUUUGUGAUGGGCACUGUGCAAAGUGGCUCUGACUGUGGGGGUGGGGUGUGGGGCUCAGGCCUUUCCUUGCCAUCUCCAGGCCCGGCUGGACAUUUUGAAGAUUCAUUCUCGGAAGAUGAACCUGACCCGGGGGAUCAACCUGAGAAAAAUUGCUGAACUCAUGCCAGGAGCAUCAGGGGCUGAAGUGAAGGGCGUGUGCACAGAAGCUGGCAUGUAUGCCCUGCGAGAACGGCGAGUCCAUGUCACUCAGGAGGACUUUGAGAUGGCAGUAGCCAAGGUCAUGCAGAAGGACAGUGAGAAAAACAUGUCCAUCAAGAAAUUAUGGAAGUGAGUGGACAGCCUUUGUGUGUAUCUCUCCAAUAAAGCUCUGUGGGCCAAGU
rnacentral:sRNA from 1 species